rnacentral:rRNA from 1 species
GAUGAACGCUGGCGGCGUGCCUAACACAUGCAAGUCGAGCGAACAGACCAUGCUCUUGCUCCUUUCUCGUUAGCCGCGCGCGUGUGAGUAACACGUGUAUCAUCUCCCUAUCUUACUGGUAUCUUUUCGGGACUCCGGCUCUAAUCCCGUAUAAUCUAUUGCACCGCAUUGUUCAAUAGUGAGAUUCGGUUUUUCUGUAUCUUCUCGCUGCUUCCGCGCUGCAUUAGCUAGUUGUUAAGGUAACGGCUUAUCAAGGCUACGAUGCGUAGCCGACCUGAGAGGGUGAUCGGCCACACUGGAACUGAGACACGGUCAAGACUACUAAGGGAGGCAGCAGUAGGGAAUCUUACGCAAUGGGCGAAAGCCUGACGGAGCAACGCCGCGUGAGUGAUGAAGGUCUUCGGAUCGUAAAACUCUGUUAUGAGGGAAGAACAAAUGUGUAAGUAAAUAUGCAGGGCUUGACGGUACCGAAUCAGAAAGCAACGGCUAACUACGUG